AACCCAAACCUAUUCGAGAAGUGUCACAAUAUACCACAAACCCUUUGGUACCCUCGACUAAGGUCAAUACCAGAGCAUAGGUAGAUUAACUUUAAAGUCUUGGUAGCCUUUUUCACAAGUUUCUGACCAUUCAAACUUAACUUUCUUUUGGGUUAGGGUCGUCAAUGGAGAAGCGAUAAAUGUGAUUCAUUAACAAAUCUCCUAUAAUACAUACACAAACCCAAAAGGCUUCGAACGUCAGUUGAAAUUAGGGGUCAAGGACAAUUCUUAACUUGCUCCAUUUUCUUCAGAUCAACCUCUAUACCCACACUCGAUACAGACCAAGAGAAGCAACUGGUCAUAGACAAAACUCGCACUUACUAUAUUUAGAAAAAAAAUUGGUGUUACUUGAGGAUUUGCAAAAAUAUCCUCAAAUGAAUCAUGUGUUCAUCCUCACUUUUGGAAUAUACCAAGAUGUCAUUGAUACGCUCAAACAUACUUCUCAAGUAAGAAGUAAAGCGGUCGUGUUAAGUAAAUAACCCAACAAGUGACGUUGGGAUCGUUCCCACGAGGAAAAUAGUCUAGACUUAACUUCAACCUGUUAUUACUAUUGUUUGGUCAAUGACUUCCUUAGAAAGUAAAAACAAUAAAAUGGGGGUUUCUAAUUCUAAAUGAAUGAAAAUAACUAAUGUAAUUGAAAGAGACACUUAACAGCUUUGAAUGUUGGAUUUUAAUCAAUUAAUCAAAGUAACUAGGGUUUAUGUGUUCCCCACAGGUUCAUAACUAGAUAAUUCUAACUAUAACAAUUCUUUCCUAGUAUCUUGCAUGCAAAGUGAUAAGUUUUGUAUUUCUAAAUCCUUGGUCCGGCAUCUAGAAAAUCUCACUCCGCACCUUGGUCCGGCUACAUGUGUUGCGUUCCUAACCCUUAUCUUUACCUCAUAUUAAGCAUCGUAUUCGAUAUUUUACUAAGUUAUUACCUCGUACCAAUCACUACUAGCCUAUUAGAUAGUAUACACUAAAUCUAUGUUGAUAAUUAUUUUCCCAUUAUCUACCUCCUUGGUCCGGCAAGUAGCAUUAAGACGAGUUCUACGUUGGCCAUCCGUUAAAAAGACUUCUAAGCGAAAAAAUUAUUAAUACAUGCAAGACACCAUUCUAGAAUUGUUAUUUUAGUUAGGUUUUGUCUCAUUAUUUUCCUAUGGUUCCCACAACCCUAGUUAUGGAGUUUAGUUACUCAUAGUCAUAAUCACAAUAUUCAAAUAUAUUAAAUAAGAAUUCAUGUACUAACUUCAAUGAUAAAGAGUAAAAUACGCGAGUUUUCUUGAAUAAUCACCAAAAAUCACCAACAAUCAAUGAUAAUUAAAAGUCAACAAUACAAUGUUUACUAAUACGGUGUCUAACAAUACAGAGUCUAACAAUGAUCCAGAGUCUAACAAUACGGAGUCUAACAGAUAAUACCAUAGUCUAACUAAUAAUACAAGAGCCUAACUAUAUGGAGUCUAACCUCAAAAAUGAGGUUAUUCAAACUAUUUAUAAAAAAUAAAAACCUAAUUAAACAAGGACUCUAUUUGCUGGAAAUCUGCCAAAAUACGGCUGGGUCGACGGACCUCGCGAGGAUCGUCAUGGACACGACGGGCCGUCAUGGACUCCGUCAUCCCAUACUUGUGCAAUUUCCUCUGCUGCUCUUCUUCAUUACCCUCGACGGCAGGUAUGACAGACCGUCAUAGGAACAACAGUCCGUCGAGGGUCUUCGUUCCAAAACACUUCAACUCUUGGAAUAUGGGUACUGGGAUUACUUCUCUGAACUUGACGACGAACCUGCAGGACGGACCGUCAUAGACACGACGGACCAUCACAAGUUUCGUAACCCCACACUUGGUCAGACAUCCCCAUCUUCCUUCAGCGGCUGCACUACGCUGCCACCUACGGACCGUCAUAAGCACGACGAACCGUCAUCCGUAGGUGGUCUCUUCUACAUUUCUUCGCUCAAAAUCUCCGUAUUCAGCUUUGGACAGAUUUCCUGCAAAAUAAAAAGAAACUUAUAUAAAAUUAGCACAAAAAGGCUUUUGGACACACUAAACUUAAGGAAAAAGUAUUAAUAAUUUCGUGAAACUACGGUAUAUCAACACCCUCAACUUAAAUUCGUUGUUUGUCCUCAAGUGACGCACUAUGACUCAAUACAAAAAUCUUUGUACAAUAGUAUUCAUGUUUUAUCCUUUGCAAUCAUUUGGCUAUCAAUCCCGAUUAAUCUCAUCAAAUCUAUGCAUGCUAUCACUAUUAGUCUUGAAUUAUGUGGGAUCAGAACAUGACAUAGACUCACCAUGCACUAACACCUAUCCUCUUCAAUUUGUCACUGAGGUACUAACAAUUCCGGUAUUGCAACUAGUGUCCUCACUUCAAAACAAAAUCCUCCUUUUUCACACAAUGAUUUCAGUUUGAGUAUAAGGAUUACUUUUCAACACUCGCUCACAAAACAAAGUCACACUCAUUCAUACCUAUUUUCAUAAGCUUGCCCUUAUUUUCACUGCCUUAAGUUCGCUAUAUAACCCUUAGGAUCACGAUAGGACUUUUUUAGCUAGUAACAUAGGCUCAGGGUCAAGUAGGGUAUAUUUAGGUAUACAUUAGUGACUUUUUUCCCUCCUUGACAUAUCGGCUAAACCUUCCACUUUUUAUCAUUUUAUCUCGCCUAGAUUCUUCUUGUAUAUUUUUCUUUUUAUUUACUUUUCUUUCAACUAAUUCUUGAGUCACUUUACUUUUGUUCUUUCUCUCUCUUUGUUCUUUCAACCCCAUUUUCCAGAGCAUUCCUUAUAAUAUCCACCCUCAACUCAUGGCUUUGCCAUGAGUCAAGGUCCACAAUACCCAAAGUUGGUUCAGGGCCAUAACGAAGGUUCUUUACUACAUUAGCACCCUCAACUUAUGCUUUUGGCAUAAGCUGAGGUGCACAUGUCCAAGGAGGGACCAGGGCCAACACAUUGUUCCCAGAAAAGAUCAGUUGGGGUGAAAAAGAAAUGUCUAAUUUAAGAUCAGAUCAUUUGGAUCAAAGAAGGAUAAAUUUCAUUUGGUUUCUUUUAUUUAGGCUAAAAAUGGGCUAUAUUGAAUAAGGGCCUAUGAUCCUUUCCUAAUUGUCUAUUACAGCUUGCUUUUAGCAGGACUAACCAGGCAAGUUCUAGCUCAGUACCAAUUGUGGACUAUUCGAAUUUUCCUCACACUCACUUGACAUUUCAUUACUAUACCAGAUUAUCAGACACCUAGUUCAAAUUUUAGACUUAGGGUAAUGCAAUGGUGUACCCCUAUGUCAUGCUUAGGGCCACACAAUUUUCAAUUACUAUGACUAGUCAUGCAUCAUUUUCCAGUUUAUCAGGAUAUCAUUUUAGCCAUUAUGCUUCAGAAUUAAACUAUAUACAAAAGAUAUAAACAUGUCGGUUCAACAGAAAAAGUAAUUAGUCUUUGGGGGAAAAGAACACAAGCAAGAAAACCCUAAAAUAGGAUAGUGAAUUGGGCUACUCAGACUUCACCCUAACACUCACUUUUCAUUUACCCCACCACCAAUAAAAAGCAUGCAAUUUUCCCCAAUGCAUAAAAAAAUUAUCUAGAUAUUAGAGUGGAAGGUGAAGCAAACAUGUGGCGCAAAGCGCCGUCGAUCAGCAAGCUGGUGGGUCCGGUUCCUCGGAACCCAGUAGUGCCCUCAGCAAAAACUGCACAUCAGUAGUGCCUCCUGCUAUAUCUGCAGUGCGGGAGCUAGACGCCCCAGCCGCUAACUGUGAUGCUCUGAUCUGGUGUGCCUCCUCCUCAGCAAGUGAGGCUCUCCUCGCAGCCUCCAUCUCUUGGCACUCCUUCUUUCGUGCUCGCGCCUCAUCCUCUUCUCGACCCCUACGCCUCUUGGAAUUAUCUCAAGGGGGAGGUGGUGGAAUCUCUGAUGUGGAAAAUAGGGCCGCCAACACUGUGUCUUCAGCAGGCUCGACAGAAGGGGCCUCAGACUCUGGAACCCUAGCCUCUAAGAUCGUGUCUAUAUCUACACGAAGACUGCCAACUGCAGCCUGAAGAGUCGACACAUCCACCAGAGGGGCAGGUCGGGCUAACACCCUCAACUCAAAGGCGUCCAAGCGCUGGUGAACCUCAGCAAUCUUCCGCUCUGUAUACUUGACCAUUUUCCGCUCUAGGCGCUCUUCUGACUCAGUAAUUGACUUCUGCAUCUACGGCUGGAUAUGAUGCAUAAUUGUAGCCAUUUGUGCCUCUAAUUUUUGGACUCUAGCAAGCGGGACAAGUGCCGGUAGGGGGACUGUGGGAGAGGAGCUCGGGGCAGUGCUACUACCCGGGAUAGACUCGACCGCGGUAGUGUCAGUGGACGCCACCUGUGUAGCCAUGCGGUCCUGGGCUACCGUAUCAGCAAGAUCAUCAGCAAUGGGGGUAGCUCUGGACGGGGCUCUCUCCGUGGAGCCAACUCAUUGGCCUCAUCUCUGAUGAGGCCGACGUCAACAGUGCCCUGCGGGGUCUUGAGCUAAUCUACGUGCAAUAUAGGCACACCUGCGUACCUGCAAAGAGCAAAGAUCAUGCACGGGAAAGGGUAAGUAGUAGUGACCUUGAAAGCCCUCUCGUGCAUGACUGCUGGUAGAUGCCAAGUGAAGUCCACCUCGAACCCAGCUAUCAUCGCCUCCAUCAACAUUGCUUCAUCCCAUGUAACGAUAUUAUCAGCAAUUGUGGGGGAAAGGCAGUGACGGACAAUCAGCCAUACGAACUUCGUCGUGAAAGUGAGGUUAACCGUCUUAAUGGCCCCCUUUGGCUCAGUUACCCAGUCGGCACCCUCUCCAUCAACUGACAGGUGCAGGGCCAUCAACCUCUUGGUGGUCUCUCUCAUUGAUGGCUCGCGCAGGAACUGGCCUUCUUUAACUAUCUGCCAGCGGUAGUCAAACUCGGUAGUGAGAGGGGUCCGAGUAGCAUCAACACUCUCAUCGUAUAAAAACCAGCGGAUGACAGGCAGGGAAAUGUCAACCUGUACACCCCUGACUCAGACCUGCUCCAGUAGGGCCUGUUUAGCGGGGGCAUCCCGCCUAUCUAUCUGUGAUCGGAGAGUCGCUACGUAGGAUACGUAGAACUCUCAGACAAUUUCUUAACUGUAACGUCCCAACAGACGUGCUCUCCACUCCAAGCGAUGAAUGGUGAAGAGAUUGUGGAUCUCAAGCAUCGUCGGGACAGUCCCUGUAAGGAAACGCCGCUCCAAGGUGAGUGUUCGAGUCAUCACUCCUUUAUCAGUCAGGAAUCUGGCGCCGGAGUAGACUUGAAAUUUCCCAUGGACACACCACUGGUUGGGCUGGUCAGUGGCUGGGGUGGGGACCUGAGCUGGUGAACCUGAUGUGGAUUCUGAACUGUCUGCCUCAUCAGACGAGGCCGAAGCUGCAGUGGUGGUGGGUGCGGGAACCUCAGCAGAGUCGGAGGCUUCCUCUGACCAAGAUACUCCUAAGGAGCCAAACGCUCCUUCUUCAUUUGUAGCUGACUCAGAGGGUGUGCCGGUCAGUGUGCGCUCCUCAUCAGACUGGGAGGCAGUGACUACGCCGGACGGAACUGUUUUGGGUGUGGCUCUGGGAGCACUUGCAGCACAGGAAGGGGUGGAAGUGCCUGGGGGCACGUACUCGGGGUCAUGCUCAUCAUCAAAGCCAAUGACCAUGCGGGCCGACGGGGCAACAGACUUCAAUCGCCCGCGUGCAUAGAUGCGAUCUUGCUUGGGUGCCAUAGUAGAUACUACCUAUAAAAGAUCAAUAUUAGAAUGAGAAGUGGCAAAUAAGACAAGCGAAACCACAAAAACAAUUAAAAUAGUAUGUCAUUACUAUGGUAACAGUGACACAUGACGGGCCUGGUGACGGCUCGUCGUGACUAUGACGGACCAUCAUGGGGUCCGUCCUGUUUUACUUAAACUACGUAUAUAUGGAGAACCCUGAAGGAGAGUCUCUGACUAGUCCGUCGUAGGUGUUCAUCAUAGGACACUUAAAAAAAUAUGGAGACCCUUAGGAGAGGGGUAUCUGACCAUCAUGAUGGUCAUGCAGGACGGACCGUCGUGGGUAUGACGGUUCGUCACAUGUGUCCGUUGAAGGACACUUAGAAAAAGAGAGAGACCUCAAAAACAGGGUCUAUAACAACUAGAAGGUUGUGUAGGGCGGACUGUCUUGAAGACGAUGGUUCGUCACAUGUGUCCGUUGAAGAACACUUAGAAAAAGUGAGAGACCCUCUGAACAGGGUCUCUGACAAACAGAAUGGUUGUGCAAGACGGACCAUCGUGAAGACGACGGUCCAUCACAUGAGUCCGUUGGGGGAUACUUGAAAAAACAUGGUCAGUGGGGUGUUAGGGCUUUUGGAACGGACCCUACGACGGUCCGUCGUGGAACAACGGUCCGUCAUCGGGGUCUUGUUCUGUAGAUCAGUGACAGAACUGGUGUACCCCAUUCAUCCCCGAUGAACCUGAAAAUCAAACUUGUAGUGUUUUGGACCUACAUUUGUCUAACCCAACUACCUAGGAAACUAGUAAUGCGAAAGCACCUAUGUCUAGGGUUGUAAACAUGGAAAUUUCGAAUAUUUUUAACCUAGGUUAGACAGAAUCUUAUAAAAGAGAUGAACAUAUGACGAAGAACUAAGUGAAUACUAAUUAAUAAACAAAAAUACAAGAUAAAUGAGUAGAAAUUAGACACAUACCUUAGAAUUGGAUAAAAACAAGAUGGGUAAGUACUUGGUGACCAAGAAGACACCCACAACAGCAACUCCGACUAGUAGACAAUAACUUCUUGGGCUUUGGAGAAUUUUGGGGGAACAAUGAUAGAGGGAGAGAAUGUGGAAGUUGAAAAGAGAGGGAAAUGGGAGGUAAAAUGAAGGAAUGGGGUGAAAUGAGGGGUUGGGGGGUUUAAACGAUCUGAAUUUGAGAAAGACUCCAGCCGGGUCGGGUCGGGUACGACUCAUUAAUGAGGCAACAAUCCCCGAUGAUGGUCCAUCUCAGUUGUGAAGAUCCGUCGUUGGGUCCAUCGUGUGUGACCUAGUUUGAAACUAAUAGAAAAACGUACUUGGUACGAUGGAGGCAUAUGACGGUCCGUCCCAGGCGCAACGUUCCGUCGAUGUAUCCGUCAGUAACUGCUGCAGAGUAAUUUUCUGCAGAAUUUCCUGGUGAUGUGCCUGUAAAUUUAAAAAUCCAUUAGUAGAAAAAUGCUACCAUUACUAAAAAGACUAUAAGUAUUGGGUUGCCUCCCAACAAGCGCCUGAUAUAAUGUUGCGGCACAACUGAGGACACUUGAUUACUCAGCCUUCAUCAAGAUGGUUUGCCUCUAUUACUUUAUUCCCCGAUGCUUUAUGCCCAAAAUAGAGUUUUAUUCAUUCUCUAUUAACCUCAAAUCGUACUUCCUCCUUGGCUUUUAACUCAAUUGCUCCACGAGGGAAUACUUGGGUAAUCAAGUAAGGGCCAGUCCAUUUGGACUUGAGCUUGCCCAGAAGACAAGGCGACCCAGAACUGUCUACAAGCACCAAUCCCCUAUCUUAAACUCUUGUUUUGCAAUUUUUUGUUCAUUCUCCUUCUUCAUCUUUUCUAUGUGGGAUAUGGCAGAUACCGAUUGGAGCUCACCACUCUGCCUCAUGGUCCUACAAAUGUUGAAGGUCGCUUCUUCAUUAUUCAACGAAAUGUCAUUUGUCCCUUCUCCAUAUCAACUAAGGCUCUACCUGUAGCAAGGAAUGGCCUCUCAAGAAUAAUAGGUACUUCAAAAUCGACCUCACAAUCAAGAAUAACAAAAUCAGCUGGAAAGAUGAAUGACUUCACUUUUACUAGCACAUCAUGAAGUAUCCCUAUAGGCCGUUUCGCUGUCCGAUCAGCCAUCAAUAGCCACAUCACAGUGGGUUUUGGAUCCCUCAAACCCAACUUCUUGUAAAUCGAGAGGGGCAUGAGAUUUAUGCUUGCCCCCAGAUCACAUAAUGCUUUCACAAAAUGUAAUGACCCAACUGUACAAGGAAUAGUGAACGCACCAGGAUCUUCUUUCUUUUGUACGAUGGAUCUUGUAGCAAUAGCACUAAAUGCUGCAGUCUAUCAUCAUCCUCGUAAGUGACCGAUCUUUUGUUUGUAACUAGAUCUUUCAUAAAUUUGGCAUAACCAUGCAUUUGUUCUAGAGCUUCUACCAAAGGGACAUUAAUAGAAAGUUUCUUCAACAUUGUUAUGAAACGCCGAUAUUUACCAUCCUCGGUCUUUUUCACUAAUCUCUGAGGGAAGGGUGGUGGUGGCCUAGGCAUGGGAAUUACCUUGAUAGGUACUUUUUCAUCUUUUCCAUUACUUUCUUCUGCUUCACCACUACCCAUUACCACAUUAUCAUUAUCCUUUCUCAGAUUUUCCUCAGUAGACGGCAUAGGUGGGUCAAUGGUUUGAUUACCACCCCGAGUAGUGAUUUCCAUACAGUGGGCAUCAUUCUUUAGAUUUUGGAUAGUUUUCUAGGAAGAGUGCCCGGUUGCCAUGUGUUCACUAUCGCAGAUAAUUGGGCCAUUUGCAAUUCGAUCGGUUUAAUCAAAAUUGUUUGUGUAUCAACUUUUUUCCCAAAACUAGCUAAAUCACCCCUUAUCUCUUUAAUGUGCUCAUCACUAGCAUCGAACCUCCUCAUCAUUUUGUGCAACAUAUCCUCAACUCACGCCAUACUAUCUCAACCAUCCCUAGGAGUAACUUCACGAUUUUGAGAAGGGACAUAGGGCCUAUUCCUGUCAUUUCUAUUAGCAUAGUUACCCCUUUUAAAGUUGUUGUCGCAGUUGUAGUUCCAUCUCGGACAUAAUGACACUCACAAUUGUAGUUACCAUAGUUCUGACCUUUGUUCCCUUGACCUUGGCCCCAAUUAUCCUUAUUUGAGCCUUGGGCGCUUGGUCGGAAACCCCUCAUCUGCUCAUUUACUGCAUAAGUGUCCUCCGCAUAAUAGCAUUCAUCGUUAGGAGGUGGUGGUUUUGCAAAGUAGUUGAAUGCAUUUAUUUUUUUUGCACCCCCAAUGACAUGUUUUAGUACCGACCCAAGCUCAGUUCUCAUCUGUGCCAUUUCUUCACGAAUCUCAUCUGUGGCUGGGUUGUGAGUGGACUGCACUGUGAAGGUGUUUCUCCCUAUAUCAGACUUCCUAGUACUCCAAGCUUUGUUAUUCUGGGAGAUUUUCUCUAAUUUUUCACCAAUCUCAGCAUAAGGACACUCCCCAUAACAUCUACCUGCUAUAGUGUCCAACACCACUUUAUUGUUAUCAUCCUGUCCCCGAUAGAAGUAUUCCUUCAGUGACUCAUCAUCUAUACAGUGAUUUGGAACACUUCUCAAAAAUAGGUGAAUCUAUCCCAAUAACUACUAACUGACUGACUCUCUGGUAGUGCCACAAAGUUGUUCACUCUGUCUUUGUGGUUUAGUUUCUUAGAGACCGGACAAUAGUGUGCUAAGAAAACAUACCUUAGUUGGUUCCAAGUGAAGAUUGAGUUUUAUGGGAGCUCAGUGAACUAUAUAGCAGCCUCUCCCGUCAGUGAAAGAGGAAACACUCUGAGCCCUAUUACAUCUAAAUCCAAGUCAGGCCUCCCUACACAACUUUUACACACUACCCUUACCUUAUCUAUAUGGGCAUGUGGAUCCUCAGAAGGUAGCGCUGAAAACAAACUCUAGCAGUCAGCAUUUGCAUCAGGCUACUAGUUACCACAAAUGUGUCGCCUGUGGGUAGAGGAGGCAAGACAAGUGGCCCAUCCGAGUCUGCUAUGUUAUCAUAGCCUUUGUAGUUUGCCUGGGGCCGUGGAACAGGAUUUUGUCCCCUCCGUUAAUGUUCACCCCCAAGCAUCGGGUAACAUCUGACCAUGAACAUCAACUGGAGCUGGGAUGUUCUGGUUUGGAUCAUCAUCAUUUAUUCCCAAGUUUUGAUUCAUAUUGCACAGUGUACGCUCUAACUCGUGAUCGUAGGGAAACAAGGGUUCUCUUCCUCUCCGUGUAUUUGGAAUACAAAGAGGAUAGUUUUGAAAAAAAAUCAAAAACAAUAAAACAAAGUAAAAUCAAGAAAAUAUCAACGAAACUAUAUUAAUAAGUUCAAGUUAAUCUAAAAGCUAUAAUCCCCGGCUGCGGUGCCAAAAUUUGAUACGCUCAAACUUACUUCUCAAAUAAGAAGUAAAGCGGUCGUGUCAAGUAAAUUACCCAACUAGUGAGGUUGGAUAGUUCCCACGAGGAAAAUAGUCUAGACUUAACUUCAACCUGUUAUUACUAUUGUUUGGUCAAUGACUUCCUUGGAAAGUAAAAACAAUAAAAGUGGGGUUUCUAAUUCUAAAUGAAUGAAAAUAACUAACACAAUUGAAAGAGACACUUAACGGCUUUGAAUGUUGGAUUUUAAUCAAUUAAUCAAAGUAACUAGGGUUUAUGUGUUCCCCACAGGUUCAUAACUUGAUAAUUCUAACUAUAACAAUUCUUUCCAAGUAUCUUGCAUGCAAAGUGAUAAUUUAUGUAUUUCUAAAUCCUUGGUCCGGCAUCUAGAAAAUCUCACUCCGCACCUUGGUCCGUCUACAUGUGUUUCUUUCCUAACCCUUAUCUUUACCUCAUAUUAAGCAUCGUAUUCAAUAUUUGACUAAGUUAUUACCUCGUACCAAUAAAUACUAGCCUAUUAGAUAGUAUACACUAAAUCUUUGUUGAUAAUUCUUUUCCUAUUAUCUACCUCCUUGGACCGGCAAGUAGCAUUAAGGCGAGUUCUACGUUGGCCAUACGUUAAAAAGACUUCUAAGCGAAAGAAUUAUUAAUACAUGCAAGACACCAUUCUAGAAUCGUUAUUUUAGUUAAGUUUUAUGUCAUUAUUUGUCUAUGGCUCCCACAACCCUAGUUAUGGAGUUUAGUUACUCAUAGUCAUAAUCACAAUAUUUAAAUAUAUUAAAUAAGAAUUCAUGUACUUACUUCAAUGAUAAAAAGUAAAAUCCGCGAGUUUGCUUGAAUAAUCACCAAAAAUCACCAACAAUCAAUGAUAAUCAAAAGUCAAACAAUACAAUGUUUACUAAUACGGUGUCUAACAAUACAGAGUCUAACAAUGAUCCAGAGUCUAACAAUACGGAGUCUAACAGAUAAUACCAUAGUCUAACUAAUAAUACAAGAGCCUAACUAUAUGAAGUCUAACCUCAAAAAUGAGGUUAUUCGAACUAUUUAUAAAAAAUAAAAACCUAAUUAAACAAGGACUCUAUAUGGUGGAAAUCUGCCAAAACGCGGCCGGGUCGACGGACCUCGCGACGGAUCGUCAUGGACACGACGGACCAUCAUGGACUUCGUCAUCCCAUACUUGUGUAAUUUCCUCUGCUGCUCUUCUUCAUUACCCUCGACGGCAAGUAUGACGGACCGUCAUAGGAACAACAGUACGUUGAGGGUUUUCGUUUCAAAACAAUUCAACUCUUGGAAUAUGGGUACUGGGAUUACUUCUCUGAACUUCAUGACGAACCUGCAGGACGGACCGUCAUAGACACGACGGACCAUCACAAGCUACGUAACUCCACACUUGGUCAGACUUCCCUAUCCUCCUUCAGCAGCUGCACUACGCUGCCAUCUACGAACCGUAAUAAGCACGACGGACCAUCAUAAGCUCCGUAGGUGGUCUCUUCUGCAUUUCUUUGCUCAAAAUCUCUGCAUUCAGCUUUGGAUAGAUUUUCUGCAAAAUAAAAAGAAACUUAUAUAAAAAUUAGCACAAAAAGGCUUUUGGACACACUAAACUUAAGGAAAAAGUAUUAAUCAUACCGUGAAACCAUGGUAUAUAGUCAUUAAUAAAGAGGAUUACAAAUGAUUCAAGAUAAUCCCAAAAUACCUUAUUCAUAGGGUCCAUAAACGUUAUUAGGGCAUUAGUUAGACCAAAGGACAUUACUAAGUACUCAUAUUGAACAAACCUUAGUUUGAAAAUCGUUUUAGGAAUGUCAACACCUCUAACUCUAAGUUGGUGAUACCACGACCUCCAACCGAUAUUUGAAAAAGAUAAAUCUCCCUUUGGAGUUGGUCAAACAAAUCAUUAAUUUUAGGGAAAGGAUACUUAUUCCUUAUAAAGACCUUGUAUAAAUAGUGGUAAUAAAUACACAUCCUAAGAUACCUAUCUUUUUUUUUGACAAACAAUACCAGAGCUCCCUAUGAAGAUAUUCUUGGUUGGAUAAAACCCUUGUCUAGCAAAUCCUUGAGUUGAGCUUUCAAUUCUUUCAACACGUCCGGAGUCAUCUGAUAAGGAGGAAGUGAUAUGGGUUGAGUAUUCUCCAAAAAAUAUAUGCCGAAAUAUAUUUCCCAUUCAGAAAGAAUUUUGGGCAAGUCAUUGGGAAGACUUUCGAAAAAUCCUUCACUGCGGGGACCGACUACAAAGGAGGAGCCUCAGACCCUAGGUCCUUGACCCUCACAAUAUGAUGAAUACAUCUCGUAUAAAUCAUUUUAUAAUAUUUUAGGCAUUAAAUAAUUUGACCUCUAGGGAUUGAGUUUCCCACCUUCCAUUCUAACAUGGGUUAAUUAGAAAAUUGGAAUUUAACUACCCUCGUUCUAUAGUCAAUUGAAACAAAACAAGUAGUAACCAAUCCAUCCCCAAUAUGACAUCAAAGUCCAACAUAUCGAGUUAUACUAAAUCAAUUAAUGAUACUCUAUUGGUCAAUAUUAUGGAACAACUCCUAUAGACUCUUUUAGCUACCACGGAGUCACCCACUUAGGUACAAAUCGAAAAAAAUUCUGCUAAAACAUCGAGUAAACUAAAUUUCAUAGCACAAAAAGAGAUACAAAAGACAAUGUUUCACCGAGAUCUAGUAAUGCUUAAACAUUAAUUGAAAAUACUUAUAAGAUAACGGUAACAACUUCGAGAGAUCCCUCUUGAUCACCUCUAGAUUUGAGAGCAUAGAAACGGUUCUUCUUAAGAGCAUCAAAAUUAAGACCACUUGAUUAUGCUCGAUUACUCUCCCUUCCUUGAGUCUUGAACAAGGGAUAAUCUUUCACCAUGUGACUACUCUUUCCACGAUAAAAAUAAUUAUUAGUACCCACUAGACAUAUACCCAUAUGCCUAUUGAAACAUUUGGCACAAUUGGGUUGCUCACUUUGUCAACCCCCACUUUUUCCCUCUUCAGUCUGAGGUUAGGUACUCUAUCAUUAUUAUCACUUAAUAAAUUAGAACAAACUUGGUUGGAGUCUCUUUUCAUAAACUUUGGCUUGUAUUGGAUUUAAAACUACCCUUAGAAGUACCUCCAUCAUAUAGUCUUGACCUUUUGGAAUCCCUAUUUAUCUUCCUAUUCCUACUCUUCUCAAAUUGUUGAGCAUGCACCAUCAAACAAGAAAUUUCCAUGUCAUUGUGAAGCAUUUACACACGACACUCUUCUACAAGAUCAUCGGACACACCCAUCACAAAACGACUCAUUUCAUGUCAAGAAUUAGUCACCAAAGACGAAGCAUAUUUGGACAAGAUGAUAAAUUUCAAAGAGUAUUCUUGACACUCAUACCUCCUUGACGAAGGUUGUGAACUCUUUCAAUUUUUCCUCUAUUUUCUCCCUUAGGAAGAACCUAUCAAGAAUUUCCCUCCUAAAGAAUUCCUAACUUAUGGGACCCAAACUCAAAGCCCUAUUGUCCUUUCAUUGAGUGUACCAAGUUUGAGCGACAUAUUUUGGUUAAUAAGAAGCUAGCUCGGCCUUCUCAUUUGAACUCACCCCGAUAGCAUACAAGACCUUAUAAACCUCAUGUAUAAAGUCUUGAAGAUAUUCAUUUACCUUAGACAGAAAGAACAUUGAAGGAUUCAUUCUAGUGAAGUCCGUCAAAUGUGAAGCCAUGGUACUAGCUUGUGUCGUCAUAGCUUGAGAUUGAGUAGUUACGGCUAGAUCUUGAGUAGCCAUUACUUGAGACAAGUUUAGAAAAAUUGUCUAUAUCUCUCCAUCUGUCAUGACCAGAGGAUUGACCAGAGCUUGGUCAGCUAAAGGAACUUGCUCGUGAUGGGGAUCUUGGUUGCCUUGGAGAGGGACUUCCGCAUUCGCAAUCUCCUCUUCAACCCUUCUUGCGGCUGCGCUUCUAGGAGUCAUAUACUAUAUUCACAAGAAAAUGAUUAAAAUUAAAGGACACAUAGAGUUAGACUCUACAGACACCACUUAAGGAUACCAAAAAAGUGAGAAUUUCUUAAGCAUCACAUAGUCUCUCAAUCACAAGUGAAUCGCACUUCAUAAUUAUGAACAAGACACUACAUAGACGUGGUUUUGUGAGACAUCAUUCCUAGUAUUAUUCAACCUCAUGCUUUGAUACCAAUUUUGUUACAACCGAGAGCUUCCCUAGUCGUAACCAGUGUCAUCGACCUCGAAAAGGUCUUAUACAAGCCCUUAGCAUUCAUCAUUGCAUAAUAGAUAGAAUAAAAGCAGAAAAUUUAAAACUUUUAGUUUGAAGUUCAAUUUCACUUCAUAUAUCAAAAUAAAAACUAACUUAUCUCACAUUGUCAUCUAGACAUAAGAGUACGAAAAUUAGGACUUAGACCUUACAUUAACAACAAGUCUUAUAAUACGAAUACAAUAUAGUCUUUGAAUAAGGAAAGUGUAACUAGAAUUAGAAUCAAGAAUCUUCAUCUCGGACUUGAGGACUCACCAACUUGGGAAUAGAAAUCGAAGUUUCUUCAUUAAAGGACUAUAAUCACCUCAAUGACCCGAACCUACACUCGUGUAGAAAAUAGAAGAAAUAUGUGUUAGAACAAACCACAAGUACUAAGAAUGGAAACCUAAGUAAAUAAAACAUUUAAAACAUGCACAAAAGGACAUUUGGUUAUAAGCAUGUCAUAUUCCAUUUAAAGGCCUUCAUGCAUAUUUCAAGAAUAUAUACAAGUCCAUACCAUAAGUCAAAUCAUGAUAAAUCCAUAGUCAAAAUUUCAUAUUUAGAGUCCAUUUCAUCAAUACAUCACAAGACCUUAUUCAUAACCCCUAAAUCAAGUCAACUAGUGCAUUCUGUAUAUGAAGCCCCAUAACCCCACACACCAAGCAAUGAUCAAGAAGAUCACAAGCACUAUCAUUACCUCCUACGUCAUCAUACCAAGUAUAGCCAACAACAUGCAUAUCAAGUGAAACCAACAUCAUGUAUAUCAAGUGAAACUAACUUCAAGCAUAUCAUAUGGUACCAACAUCAUGCAUUUCAUUCAUAAGAUAUAUACAUAAAUAACACACCCUACAACUCAUCUCAAGACUGACUUAUGCAAUGCAUAGGUUAAGUCUCAUACCCUAACCUAUACUAAGUAACAUCUCUCGAAUAGUCCUAAUUAGUGGUCAUCUUAUUACUUUCAUUCAUUUUGGAAUUCGGGAAACUUCGACAAAAAUGACAUAGACCAUGUAAGCUACAUGGACUACGAUGUCAACCCCUCACACCCAAAGGAGGGUGUCCCACUUGCAAAGGUAAGACAUAAACGUUCGUAAUAGCAUCAAGGUGGAUCCACGUGCUAAGGUUCAUAUGGGACACAUAGUUAAAGAACUAGGAGGUUGUUGCUAGAAACCCUCUUUAUGAUAAUUAGUAUUUUAGUAUCCACGUCAUGAGAUCAUCAAGUGAGCCUUUAUUCCUUUGUGAAGGAAUGCCUCUCAUUGUCAAGUUCACUCAGUGCUAAGCUAAAUUCCCUUUUUGAAGUGUCUUUAAGUCUUUCUUAAAAAUCAAUUCAUAAUGUAGGUCUUAGGAGUUUAAUACCUCAUAUAACAUAUACAUAUCCCAUAGGUUCAAGGAUGAGAAAGUUCUUUCAUCACAAACCCAAUAUUAUGUGAGAACAUUACUUCAUAAACAUAGUCAUAGAAUGUAGUAAUUUCCUUCAAUUCCCCUUAACAGAAAACCUACCAUCAUCUCACAAUCAUCACAUUCAUAUUAAUGAAAAUACAUUCAUACAUUCAUCCUUUGUACUUCAAGUAAUCAACAUUACUAAAUAUAAACCAACAAUACUACAAUAGAAUGUCAUAGCCUUAAAGGUAUAAGAUACCCUUUCAAGAUUCCAUCUCAAAUCCAUAACGUUCAUCCAUAAAAUAUGUUAUCAUCAUCAUACUAUAGUCAAUUAUACAAGAACAUACUAAAUAACAUCACCGAUAAUCAUUAUUCAUGAUAAUUCAAGGGUUAGGGUCAAGAGAAGAGGGACAUUCCUAGGUCUUUAGAGAAUUAGAUCAAAAACCUAUACAAUACAUCAAUUCACUCAUGAACAUUCUUAUUCAAUCGUUAUUAAUGUACCUUAACUUAAUAAUUGUAUUUGUAAUUACCCAACUAUCCCUACCCUAUCCAUGUGGAGAUAGUGAUUCCAUGAACCAUCCCCGAAUCCCCACCCACGGGGCAUGGAUUGAUCCACAACUAUGUUGGUCACGCGUGGAUUGAGACUACGGGGUGCAUCCUAGGGUCUUGGUGAGGAGAGUAAGUCUCAACUCAUGAGACACUUCCACGGAGCAUGAGUCGGUUAACGGACCAUACUGCACAUUCCUGGUUUUGAUUCCCGACUCCUAUUAGUCACUUGACAGCUCGUGGCUGGAGCCUCAUGGAGAAUGUUGUUUUAUACAACUUUUAGAACUAAGGGUUUGGUCCUCCUUAAGGACCCUUGGGGUGGACCUUGGGUCGUACCCGGAUGUUUGGGCCCUAAACAGAUUAUUUAACAUAUUUAAAAACAAUUCCAAGGUUUAGUCCUCAUAUGACUCUUCAAAACCCAUACAAGACCUAAGGACACAGUAGAUCACUAUCACUAGUUUCCGUACGUCAUGGUCAUUUUCUUGAUGCUUAUGCACUAACACUUCCAAAAGAAGUUAGUUAUGGUAGAAUAGGUCUUGAAACAUUAUUUUAACCUUUUUAUGUCAUUAAACUUCUGUUAAAGUCCUAGCUUAGGUCAUUCGAUUUAUGAGGUGUAACACUUUUACUCUUCAAGUUCUUCUCUCAAAAACCCUCUAAAACAUAGAGCAAAGAACUUAGAUAAAAAUUGGAAAAAUAAGAUAAUUGUGUGUUCUAAUAAUAAUAGUUCUAUAUGUAAGCUAAAACACUACAUAAGUAUUUAUAUUUUUUAAAGAUUAGUGUUGCAGCGGCAUGCUCGACGACAUUAGUCAAAAUUGCUGAACAAAUCGGUGAUUUUCCUUUUGAUUACUUCAUUGUCGUCUAGCGCAUAGUACAAGAAUCUUUGUGUUAUAUAUCACUAGGCAACAAAAUAGUGCUUCACAGACUUCUCGGUUAUAAACCGACUGCUCCUUUAUACAUCCGAUUUGAACCUUUUCUUCAAGGCUCAACACACUGAAACAAAAGGUGAUCUUCAGACCUAUCGGCGAUCCUCUUGCCUUCAUUUCUCCAUUCUUUUUUUUUCUUUUUGCCAAGUAGAGUCCAAGCUAUGCCUUAAACUCAAAGUACGUGAAACUCAAGUUUAUCGAUUAGUAACUGGGAUAAAACAAGCAAUUAAGUACAUUAUUUCUAUCAAAAUAUAACCCUAAAUGAGUCUAAUCUCAGGACUUAUCAACACCCUCAACUCAAACUUUUGUUUGUCCUCAAGUAUAACUCAAUUUCAACAGUUCAAAAAGGAUGUCUUAAACAGUGCUACACAAGAUGCAAUCAUAAAUGUACACAACAUGACUCAGUUUACUUAUGGAAAAAUCAAUUGUGUACCCAAAGAUUUAAGUUGUGACACACCAUUACCAACGAUUCUCAAGCUCGCAAUACUUUCUUCAUAUGCAAGUUCAUGCUCAACGAAAUCAUUUGUAUGCCCUAACAUACAUAAUGAUUCUAUUCUCACACACAUGAUGUUAAUCAUUUAAGGUUAGGGGAUCGAAUACAACUUACACUCUCAAAAAGAGGAACACAAUGCAUGAUUUCACCCAUUAGUUUGCUCUUAUUUUUUAUCAACAUUUCUUUUAGCUUUCUCAAGAUCACAGAGGUCGUUUUAUGGCUUGUAAUAGGGCUGUGUGCAAAGAUAUGGUCAUUUGGGCUCAGUGACUAUGAUCCACAUGAGAUGUGGUGCCCAAAACACUUCCUUUAUUUUCCUCUCAUUAAAUUCAUUAGUCCUUACAAGUCAUCCCUUUUAUUCACUUUCCUAUAAUAUGUUGGGAACCCUCUUUUUCUUUUUGUAACUUUUGAGUUUAUUUCACAACUUUUCCUUUUUCUUUUUUUCUUCUUUUCUCGCUUUUCUCUUUUUCUUUAUAUGGAGGGAUUUCAUUUUAUCAACACAAUGGGUAGACGGGAUCUCUCUUGCACUUCUUGACUUGAUUUCUCCUUUAAACACACCCCCAACUUAGGCUUUUAAUCUAAGUUGGCUAUGCUAUUAAGAACAAAUCUAGAGGAUUAUGUGUAAAGGGUUAAGAGAGGUCAUGUUGUUGUCAAGUUUCUUCCAAUUAAUGGUAAGGGUCAAUGGGUGUUCAAGAGAGAUUCACACAAUCACAAGGUAGGUCACAAAAGAGGUAUAUGUCAAAUAAGCUUACACUCUUAAAAUUGCCUAAUAUCAUAUCAAGAGAAAACUUUAACUAGAAAUAAAACCAAAUAAAUGUAAUAAAAUAUCUAGAUAAAAUUUUAAAUUUGAAGAGAGUUAAACUAAUAGUAGUAAAAAAAGAAGGUGAAGUUGUGGUACAAAGUAACCAUAAAAGUGAGAAGCUACAAUGAAGAUGACAACGAAUUUUUGAAGAACAAGGAAGAAAGAAAAAAAGUAAGGAGAAAAAGUUAAAAUAAUAAGAAGAACAAAACCAAAUGUUUUAUAGCAAAAUGCUCGUAAAAUAAAAUUACAUUCAUUUUUUAGUUUGUUCACGUUCUUUAAGAGAAUGCAUACACACUUUAUGUCAGGUUGACAAAAAAUGAUGUAAUGUAAUAUCAGUUUUGGAUUUUUUAGGGGGAAGGUAGGGUAAUAGGAUGCUUGCAUGGUUUAAGUGUUUUUUUGAAUAUUCAAGACAACUUCAAGUGUCACUUUAUGUUUUUCUCUACUAUUGUCUCCAGUAUCACAUGAUGGUAACAAUGCAGUUUAGAAUAUAUCUUAAUUGCAAUAGCUCAUCAUAUAUGCAUACGAUGCCAACAAUAACAUUUAUAAAAAAUAUGAUAAUUCCUUCUUACAAAUUUUUAUUAAAUCUUAAUAAUUGUGAUUGAACCUACAAAAUCCCUAUUACAUUUAUGUGUCAAACUGUUAACCCAAAUACAAUAUAAUUUAUAUAUUCUUAUUAUAAAGCUCUACAUCUUACUAAUAUAAGAAUUUAGAAUCAAAACAUGAGGACAAAUUAACAAAAGGGAAUGAAUGUGGUCACGAUUGUAAUAAGGUGUAAAUCAAUUUAUCCGAAUAGUAAUUUCAUAUGUACUAAUAGAUGUUCUUGGCGUACUCCUAUUAAAAUCUACAACAUAUAUAAAACUUUUCUAAUAAAGUUCACUUUUUCCCUCAUUUUACAUGAAACUUCAGAUGAUGUCCAAAAGAAAAUUAUAAUGCAAUUAAAGUUUCAAUUACAAUAAUAGCAAAACAAAUAGAUAUAGUAAUUGUAUUACACAAAUAUAAAAAAUUUGUCGAGAUGUAGUAUCGACAAAACACUCAAAGUAGUCAACGUUGUAUUACAAUUUACAUUAUUAAGGCUAAAAAAGAAUAUUUCUUCCCUAAAUAAAGAAUGGGAAUUAGUCAAACUAUUUUUGCAUAUUCUGUCUAAAUGAUGCAACUAACUUUAUCAUCUCGUAAAAUAAUUGAAUGUAUAGUUGUUAUUUACCUACGAGUAAUUUGGUUGUCAUAAGAAAUUUAGUUUUUCAACUUUCUUUAUCCAUUUGAGGAAAAUGAAUGAUAUUUUUACUAUUUUAUAGUAGCUUAAUCGGAGAAGUAUAAAUGUUAGACUUUUUAGAUGUCAUACAUUCAUUUACAAUAAAUGUGGUGUGCAUUGACUUUCAUCUCUUAGAAUUCUUCAUGCUUUGACAUAACGUGAAAAUAUUUUAAGUAAAGUACGGAUCAUUCUCAUUCAGAUAUCUUACUCAAUUCCAUCAUUAAAUAAUUUCAUGCACAUUGAAUAAUUUUAAAACUGAUUUCAUCUAUAUUUAAUUAGUUAUUAGAAUACAUAUUUGGUUUUGUAAAGGAAUUAAAUAGGAAGUGUUUUGAAGGUCAAAAAGGUAUUUCAACUUUUCAAUUUGAUGUUCCCACUUUUAGGGCAUGUUUGGAAGGAUACCCUAGUAUUGGAUUUGGUGUAAUUGAGUGUAAUUACAACAUAUGUCUUGUUUGGCUGGAUAGGUAAUUAAUAACUUGAUUAGCAGGUAAUUGGUGUAAUUGGCAGGGAGUAAUUACACUCUACAAUUCACAGGCAGAGGCUGUGAAUUGCUAGAAAUUAUAUGGUGUAAUAGCUUAUUACUUUUCAAUUUCUUUUUUUUUCCUAUUUUCCUUUUUUGGUUUUAAUUUUUACUUCAAUUAUUUUAUAUUCUUUUUUAAUUUUCAUUAUUCUAAAAAAUCAUUUUUUAUUUUUUUAUAUUAGUAUAUUUCAUUUUUUUGUUUUUCUCUGUCUUACUUUACAUGAUUCUAGGCAAUUUUUUCGUAUUAUCUAUUUUUUAAGAAAUGCUUAUUUUCUCACUAGCAUAAUUUAAUUAGCAUUCUAUUCUUUAAUCAAAAUAGAAUUUAUUGUUAAGUAAAGUUAUAAAUUUACUUUUUAAAGAAAAAUAAAAAUAAAUCAUAUUUAUGGGCGUUAUGUUGAAAUAUGCUCUAAGAGUAUCAUGUUAAAUUUUUUGUUUUGAUUUAUAUAUAACUUUUGUUAUAUUUUCAAUGUCAUUUGUUUUAGUAAUAUUGAAUUCACAUUGCACGUCAUUUUUCAAUUAAUCUUGAUAGAUUAUCUUUUUGUCAAACAUUUAAUAAUUUAUGACAUUUUAUUUAUAUAUUAUUCUUUUUUUCAAACAGCUAUUUCACGAUGUUCGUAGAAAGUUCAUACUUUUAAUUUUUACGAUCAACUCUAUUGAAAUUUAUAAAUUUCAAAAAAUAUAAACCAACUAUUCUUUUCAUAAUAGAGGUUAAAGAAUAUAUAUUUAUUAAUUAAUAUAUUUUUUAAAAAGAAUAUACAUAUACAUAUAUCUUAAAUUUUAUUUAAUGUCAUUCAUAAGGUUUCUUAUUUGUGUAGUAUAUAUUUUAAAUAAUCAAUUUUUAUUUCAAUAUAAUUUUAUGAUUAUUACUGUGUGCAUCCAAACAAAAACUGUCUAAUUACACUUUGACAUCCAAACAUGUCAUGUGUCAUUAAAGAGUUGUAGUCAGUUAAAACUUAUUAAAUAUAAAUUUAUAAAGUUGUUCGAAUUAUAUUAAAUUAAUGAAUAUAUUAGUCCAAAUAAAUAUUAUGAAUUAGUAUAAUUAAUUUAAUUAAUUAAAUUCAGAAAAAUAUGAAUUUAAUUAAACCACGUUCCAUAAAUCCCAUAUGAUUAUUCACUUAAAUCUGAUUGGACGAAGGGAAUCCUGUUCCAAUCGCAACUCCUCUAUUCUAAAACUAUAAAUAGGGGUCUCAUAAUUCAGAAAAGAAAACCAAGAGUUCUAAACAAGAAGCUAGAGAAAGCUCUUGGAUCAAAAGACAUAAAUUUCUCAACAAGUUCAAGAAUUCAAGUUCAAGAUUUGAAGAAGUCAAGAUCAAGUUCAAGAACGAUUAAGAUCAAGACGACCAAAUUCAAGAUCAAGCUCCAAGCCCUUGAGUUCACCUACAAUGUCCAGAUCAAGAUAAAGUUUAGGUCAAUAUCAAGAUCAAGUCCAAGUAUUAGUUCAAGUCUAAAAUCAAGUUUUAGAACGAUCAAAAUCAAGACCACUCAAUUCAAGAUCAAGGUGCAAGCCCUUUAAUUAAACUAGAAAGAAAAGAUCAAUAUAAAUUUCAAGUCAAGAUCAAGAUCAAGUCCAUGUAUAAGUUCAAUUCCAAGAUCAAGUUAAAGAACGAUCAAGAUCAAGACUACCGGAUUCAAGAUCCAAAUAAAGUUCAAGUCGAGAUCGAGAUCAAGUCCCAGUAUAAAGUCCAAGAUUAAAUUCAAGAUCAAGUUCAAGAACGAUCAAGAUCAAGACCACCGGAUGCAAGAUCAAGCUCCAAGCCCUUGAAUUCAACUAGAAAGUCAAAUAAAGAUAAAGUUCAAGUCAAUAUCAAGAUCAAGUCCAAGUCCAAGUUCAAGUCGAAUAUUAAGGUCAAGAACAAUCAAGAUCAACACCACCCGGUUCAAGAUCAAGCUUCAAGCCCUUGAAUUCUAUUAGAAAGUCAAGAUCAAGAUAAAGUUCAAGUACAAGAUCAACAUCAAGUCCAAAUUCAAGUUCAAGUCCAAGAUCAAGAGCAGGAUCAAUAUAAAUCCCAAGUUCAAGAUCAAGCUUGAAAUCCCUUGAAUUUGAAAAGGAUAAUUCAGAGAAAUCAUAGAGAUUGUAACACUCGCACUUGAAAUAAUAAAUAGAUUGUUGCUAGAAUUUUCCGUUCUUGAUUAUUGUUUUCUCCACGGAGUUUUAUUUUCUAAAAAUUCAAGAACGCCCAGUGGGACAAUCUCUACCUCUCAUCUCAACUUUUAAAGCAUCCAAUAAUAUCAAGAUGUCUUCCACCAUAGAAAAACAACUAGCAAGCUUAUACAAAGCAAUUGAAGGCUUGACAAAGUGCGCACACGAACAAGAUGCUAAACUUUCUAAGCUAACAAAUAAGAUGGAUAACAUGAUCGAAAAAAGAUCAAGUCAAUCACUUUUGAAGAUUUCCAAAUUCAAGACAAAGGAGAGUUUUGCGUAAAGAAAACAUAGAUCAAAAAGAUUCAUAUCUCAAUUGAAGGUUUGAUUCUGAUUAAUCAAUUAAAGAACAUUAUUGUAGAGUCCAUCGAAGACAAAUUUUAGUCUUCAUUCAAAUUUUCUCCAAUAUAUGCAAAGCCAUAUACACAAUGGAUUGAUAACUUUAUAAUUUCUGGGGUUAUCAACCUCCUAAGCUUCAACAAUUUUAUGGCCAAGGAAAUCCUAAACAACAUAUAGCGCACUUUAUUGAGACUUGCAAUGUUGUUGGGAAGUAUGGUGAUUAUAUUGUUGAAGAGUUCAUUCGAUCACUUAGACAAAAUUCCUUUGAUUGGUACACAGAUUUUGAACUUAAUUCUAUAGAUAGAUGGGAGCGAUUAGAGCAAGAGUUCCUUAAUCGUUUCUAAUGCAAGAGACGUGUCAUUAGUAUGAUGGAACUUACAAAGGCUCGUCAAUGUAAAGAUGAGCCAAUUGUUGACUUUAUCAAUCGCUGGAGAAGUCUAAGCAUCAACUGUAAAGAUCUCCUUAGUGAAAUUUCUAGUAUUGAAAUUUACAUCCAAGGUAUGAAUUGGGGUCUUCACCACAUUUUGCAAGGAUUAAAUCCCAAUACAUUUGAAGAGUUAGCAACUCCUGCACAUGACAUGGAUAUAAUUAUGACUUAAAGAUAAGAUCAGUAAUCUCCUAUCUAUGAACCUCAUGAAGAUAAAUAUAUAGAAGAACUCCAAAAUGGGGGCAAGUCUGCAUCUGAAGAUGAAUUUGAAGAGUCAAUGUAUAUAGACGCUCCUUAAUGCAUGACCUUAAACUGAAAAUUACAAUGCUCCUUGAAAUACGAGCUUAAACUGUAUGUCUUCAAGUUAAUAUGCUCGUUGAAACAUGAUCUUAAACUGUAUGUCGCUUAAAUUUUAACGUUUGACAUAAAUCUUCAAGUUGAAAUGCUCCUUGAAAUACGAGCUUAAAUUGCAUAUCACUUGAAUCUUCAAGUUGAAAUGCUCCUUGAAAUACGAGCUUAAAAUGUAUGGCACUUAAAUCUUACAGUUUGAGUUAAAUCUUCCAGUUGAAAUUUUCCUUAAAACAUGAUCUUAAACUGUGUGUCACUUAAAUCUUCAUGUUUGAGUUAAAUCUUCAAGUUGAAAGGCUCCUUGAAAUACUAGCUUAAACUAUAUGUUACUUAAAUCUUCAAGUUAGUGUAAAAUUUUCAAGUUGAAAUGCUCAUCAUAAUACGAUAUUAAAAUGUAUGUCACAUAAUACUUCAAGUUUGAGUUAAAUCUUCAAGUUGAAAUGAUCCUUGAAACACGAGCUUAAAGGAGUUAGUUGUUAGUUAAAUCAAGGUAAAGAUGAUUUAGUUGUUAGUUAAAUUUCUAGUAUUGAAAUGUGCAUCCAAGGUAUGAACUGGGGUCUUCACUACAUUUUGUAAGGAUUAAAUCUCAAUACAUUUGAAGAGUUACAAACUCGUGCACAUGACUUGAAUUAACCAUAACUUUAAGAGAAGAUCGUCAAUCUCCUGUCUAUGAACCACAUGAAGAUGAAUAUCUAGAAGAACUCCAAAAUGGGGGCAAGUCUGCAUCCAAAAAUGACUUUGAAGAGUCAAUGUAUAUCUAGACUCUCCUUAACGCAUGAGCUUAAACUACAAGUUACAAUGAUCCUUGAAAUACGAGUUUAAAUUAUAUGUCUUCAAGUUGAAAUGCUCCUUGAAACACAAGCUUAAACUGUAUAUCGCUUAAAUAUUAAAGUUUGACUUAAAUCUCUAAGUUUGAAUGCUCCUUGAAACACGAGCUUAAAUUGUAUAUCACUUGAAUCUUCAAGUUGAAAUGCUCCUUGAAAUACGAGCUUAAAAUGUAUGGCACUUAAAUCUUAAAGUUUGAGUUAAAUCUUCAAGUUGAAAUUCUCCUUGAAACAUGAGCUUAACUGUAUGUCACUUAAAUCUUUAAAUUUGAGUUAAAUCUUCAAGUUGAAAUACUCCUUGAAAUACGAGCUUAAACUGUAUGUUACUUAAAUCUUCAAGUUAGAGUAAAAUUUUAAAGUUGAAAUGCUCAUCAUAAUACGAGAUUAAAAUGUAUGUGACAUAAAUCUUCAAGUUUGAGUUAAAUCUUCAAGUUGAAAUGCUCCUUGAAACACGAGCUUUAAAUGUAUAUCCCUUAAAUCUUCAAGUUUUAGUUGAAUCAUCGAGUUAAAAUGCUCCUUGAGACAUGAGUAUAAACGGUAUAUCAUAAAGCUCUUUAAAUUUGACCUAAAUUUUCAAGUUAAAAUGCUCCUUAAGAUACGAGCCCAAGUGCAUGUCACUCAUGGCCUGCAAGAGUAUAAACGGGAUACAACAAAACCAAAAAACAGUCACUCCUCUAGAACUACGUUAUGACUUGAUCCUCUUCAUUGAGGUACGUAGGCACUUAGAACCAUAUUCUAAGUUAAGUUGCAUGAGUGUCAAAAUAACCAAAUGAUUACACUUGAUUUGUUGUAUGAGUUAAAGCUAUGAGUAACUAUUCAUAAAACUUCAGACUUGCACCAAAUGGUGGUGGCUCGAUGGGGGCAAACCCUUAUGAAUAAAUUGAUUCAAGAUGAAGUAUUCAAAAUCUCUAAGUAUCCAAGUUCAAGCAUUAAAAUUCUUCAAGAUUAGUCUUUGAGAGACAAAAUAUCUCAACAAGACUUAAAGAAGGGGGCAUUUGUAGUCACUUAAAAUUUGUUCAAUAUAAAUUUAUAAAGUUGUUCGGAUUAUAUUAAAUUAAUAAAUAUAUUAGUCCAAAUAAACAUUAUGGAUUAAUAGGAUUGAUUUAAUUAUUUAAAUUCAGAUAAAUAUGAAUUUAAUUAAAGCCCUCUCCAUAAAGCCCACAUGAUAUUUCACAUAAAUCUGAAUGGCCGAAGAGAGUCCUAUUCCGAUUGCAACUCCUCUAUUCUAAAACUAUAAAUAGGGUCUCAUAAUUAAGAAAAGAGAGCCAAGAAUUCUAAAAAAGAAGAUAGACAAAGCUCGUGGAUCAAAAUCCAUAAAUUUCUCUACAAGUUCAAGGAUUCAAGUGUUCAAGUUCAAGAUUUGAAGAAGUCACGAUCAAGAUCAAGACCACCGAAUUCAAGAUUAAGAUCCAAGACCUUAAAUUCAACAAGAAAGUCAAGAUCAAGAUAAAGUUCAGACCAAGAUCAAGAUUAAGUCCAAGUAUCAGUUCAAGUCAAAGAUCAAGUUUAAAAAGUUCAAGAACGAUUGAGAUCAAGACCACCGAAUUCAAUAUCAAGCUCCCAGCCCUUGAAUUCAACUAGAAAGUCAAGAUCAAGAUAAAGCUCAAGUCUAGAGCAACAUCAAGUCUAAGUAUAAUUUCAAGUUCAAAAUCAAGUCCAAGAACGGUCGAUUUCAAGACUACCAGAUUCAAGAUCAAAAUAAAGUUCAAGUCAAGAGAAAGAUCAAGUACAAGUAUAACUUCAAGACCACGAUCAAGUUCAAGAUAAAGUUCAAGAACGAUCAAGAUCAAGACCACCAGAUUCAAGAUCAAGCUCCAAGCCCUUAAAUUCAACUAGAAAGUCAAAAUAAAGAUAAAGUUCAAGUAAAGAUCAAGUCCAAGUCCAACUUCAAGCUGAAGAUUAAGUUCAAGAAAAAUCAAGAUCAAGACCACCGGAUUCAAGAUCAAGGUCCAAGCCCUUGAAUUCAACUAGAAAUUCAAGAUCAAGAUAAAGUUUAAGUCCAAGAUCAAGAUUGAGUCCAAGUUCAAGUUCAAGUCAAAGAUCAAGAUCAGGAUAAAGAUAAAUCCCUUGUUCAAGAUCAAACUUUAAAUCCCUUGAAAUUAUAUUUGAAAAGGUGAAUUCAGAAUAAUCAUCGAGAUUGUAACAUUCGCACUUAAAAUAAUUAAUCGAUUAUUGCUGUAAUUUUUCGUUCUUGAUUAUUAUUUUCUAGCCACGAAUUUUAUUGCCUACAAAUUUAGGCAUGCCCAGUGGGACAAUCUCUACCUCUCAUCUCAACUUUUCAAGAAUCGAAGAAUAUCAAAAUAAUUCCACCAUAGAAGAACAACUAGCAAGCUUAACCAACGCAAUUGAAGGCUAUAAUAAGUGCGCACACUAAUAAGAUGCUAUACUUUCCAACCUAACAAAUAAGAUGGAUAAUAUAAUUGAAAAAAGAUCAAGUCAAUCACCUUUGAAGCUUUCUAAAGUUCAAAACGAAGGAGAGUCUUUCGUUAAGAAAACAAAGAUCAGAAAGAUUCAUAUCUCAAUUGAAGGUUUGAUUCCAAUUGAUCAACUAAAUAACAAUAACUUAGAGGCCAUGGAAGACAAAUAUAUGAGUCUUCAUUCCAAUUUUCUCUAAUAUAUGAAACGUCAUAUACACAAAGGAUUGAUAACUUGAAAAUGUCUGAAGGUUAUCAACCUCGUAAGCUUAAAAAAUUUGAUGGAAAAUGAAAUCCCGAACAACAUAUAGCGCACUUUAUUGAGACUUGAAAUGCUGCUGGGACGUAUGGUGAUUAUCUUGUCAAAGAGUUCGUUCGAUCACUCACAGAAAAUUUCUUUGUUGGUACACAAAUUUUGAACCUAAUUCUAUAGAUAGUUGGGAGCAAUUAGAGCAAGAGUUCCUUAAUUGUUUCUAUAGCACGGGACGUGUCGUUAGUACGAUGAAACUUACAAAAUCUCGUAAAGGUAAAGAUCAGUCCAUUUUUGACUUUAUCAAUCGCUGGAGAAGUCUAAGCUUCAACUGCAAGAUCUCCUUAGUGAAAUUUCUAGUAUUGAAAUGUGCAUCGAAGGUAUGAAUUGGGGUCUACACUACAUUGUGCAAGGAUUAAAUCCCAAUAUUCUCGAAGAGUUAGCAACUUGUGCACAUGAAAUGAAAUUAAGCAAGACUUUAAGAGAUAAUAAACAAUUUCGUGUCGAUGAACCUCAUGAAGAUGAAGAUAUAGAAGAACUCCAAAAUGGGGGCAAGUCUGCAUCAUAAUAUGACUUUGAAGAGUCAAUGCAUAUCUUGACACUCCUUAACGCAUGAGCUUAAAUUGCAAGUUAUAAUGCUCUUUGAAACAAGCGCUUAAACCGUAUGCCUUCAUUUUGAAAUGCUCUUUGAAACACGAGCUUAAACUGUAUGUCGCUUAAAUCUUAAAUUUGACUUAAAUCUUCAAGUUGAAAUGCUCCUUGAAACACGAGCUUAAACUAUAUAUCACUUGAAUAUUCAAGUUGAAAUUCUCCUUGAGAUACGAGCUUAAACUGUAUGGAGCUUAAAUCUUAAAUUUUGAGUUAAAUCUUCAAGUUGAGAUGCUCCUUUAAAGAUGAGCUUAAACUGUAUGUCAGUUAAAUAUUCAAGUUUGAGUUAAAUCUUGAAGUUGAAAUGAUCCUUGAAAUACGAGCUUAAACUAUAUGUCACGUAAAUCUUCAAGUUAGAAUUAAAUCUUAAGUUGAAAUUCCAUUCAAACGCGAGCUUAAACUAUAUGUUACUUAAAUUAUCAAAUUUGAGUUAAAUCUUCAAGUUGAAAGGCUCCUUGAAACACGAGCUUAAAUUGUAUGUCCCUUAUAUCUUCAAGUUUGAGUUGAAUCAUCGAGUUAAAAUGCUUCUUGAGACACAAAUCUAAACUUUAUAUCAUCAAGCUAUUUAAGUUUGAUCUAAAUAUUUGAGUUAAAAUAUUCCUUAAGGUACAAUUCUAAAUUGAAUGUCACUCCAGGCCAGCAAGAGUAUAAACUGUGUACAACACAACAAAAAAUCACUCUUUCCUCCAGAACUACGUUGUAACUUGAUCCUCUUCAUUGAGGUACGUAGGCACUUAGAACCAUAUCCUAAGUUUAGUUGCAUGAGUGUCAAAAAAAACAAAUGUUCACACUUGAUCUGUUGUAAGAGUUAAGCCUAUGAGUAAUCAUUCAUAAAAUUCAGACUUAAACCGAAUGGUGGUGACUCAAUGGGGGCAAACCCUUAUAUAUAAAUUGAUUCAAGAUGAAGUGUUCAGAAUCUCCAGGUAUCCAAGUUGAGUCUUCAAAUUCUUCAAGACUGCUCUUUGAAAGAUAAAAUAUCUUAACAAGACUUAAAGAAGUGGGCAUUUUUAGUCACUUAAAAUUUAUUAAAUUUAAAUUAUAAAGUUGUUCGAAUUAUAUUAAAUUAAUGAAUAUAUUAUUCCAAAUAAAUAUUAUGAAUUAAUAUGAUUGAUUUAAUUAUUUAAAUUUUGAUAAAUAUGAAUUUAAUUGAAGUCCGCUCCAUAAAGUCCAUAUGAUAUUUCACUUAAUUCUGAUUGGCCAAAGGGAGUCCCGUUCCAAUCGCAAUUUGUCUAUUCUAAAACUAUAAAUAAGGGUCUCAUAAUUCAGAAAAAAUGAACCUAGAAUUCUAAACAAGAAGAUAGAGAAAGCUUGUGGAUCAAAAGCCAUAAAUUUCUCUACAAGUUCAAGGAUUCAUGAAUUCAAGUGUUCAAGUUCAAGAUUUGAAGAAGUCAAGACCAAGUUCAAGAACGAUCAAGAUAAAGACCACCGAAUUCAAGAUCAAACUCCAAGCUCUUGAAUUCAACAAGAAAGUCAAGAUCAAGAUACAAUUCAGGUCAAGAGCAAGAUCAAGUCCAAGUAUAAGUUCAAGUCAAAGAUAAAGUUCAACAAGUUCAAGAACGAUCGAGAUCAAGACCACCGAAUUCAAGAUCAAUCUCCAAGCCCUUGAAUUCAACUAGAAAGUCAAGAUCAAGAUAAAGCUCAAGUCAAGAGUAAGAUAAAGUCCAAGUAUAAGUUCAAGUCCAAGAUCAAGUUCAAAAUCAAGUUCAAGAACGAUCAAUUUCAAGACUACUAGAUUCAAGAUCAAGAUAAAGUUCAAGUCAAGAGCAAGAUCAAGUACAAGUUUAACUUCAAGUCCACGAUCAAGUUCAAGAUAAAGUUCAAUAAUGAUCAUGAUCAAGACCAUUGGAUUCAAGAUCAAGCUCCAAGCCCUUAAAUUCAACUAGAAAUUCAAGAUCAAGAUAAAGUUCAAGUAAAGAUCAAGUCCAAGUCCAACUUCAAGCCGAAGAUUAAAUUCAAGAAAAAUCAAGAUCAAGGUCCAAGCCCUUGAAUUCAACUAGAAAGCAAGAUCAAGAUAAAGUUCAAGUCAAGAUCAAGAUCAAGUCCAAUUAUAAUUUCAAGUUCAACAAGUUCAAGAAUGCUCAAGAUUAAGACCACCGAAUUCAAGAUCAAGAUAAAAUUCAAGUCAAGAUCAAGAUCAAGUGCAAGUAAAAGUUCAAGUCCAAGAUCAAGUUCAAGAACGAUCAAGAUCAAUACUACCGGAUUCAAGAUCAAGAUAAAGUUUAAGUCAAGAUCAAGAUCAAGUCCAAGUAUAAGUUCAAGUUAAAGAUCCAGUUUAAAAACCAUCAAGGUCAAGACCACCGGGUUCAAGAUCAAGCUCCAAGCCCUUGAAUUCAACUAGAAAGUCAAAAUAAAGAUAAAGUUCAAGUCAAGAUCAAUUCCAAGUCCAAGUCCAAGUUCAAGUCGAAGAUUAAGUUCAAGAACAAUCAAGAAAAACACCACCGAAUUCAAGAUCAAUCUCCAAGCCCUUGAAUUCAACUAGAAAGUCAAGAUCAAAAUAAAGUUCAAGUCCAAGAUCAAGAUCAUGUCCAAGUUCAAGUUCAAGUCCAAGAUCAAGAUCAAGAUAAAUCCCAAGAUCAAGAUCAAACUUUAAUCCCUUGAAAUUAUAUUUGAAAAGGCAAAUUCUGAGGAAUCAUAAAGAUUGUAACACUCCCACUUGAAAUAAUAAAUCUAUUGUUCCUAUAAUUUUCCGUUCUUGAUUAUUGUUUUCUCGACGCAAAUUUUAUCGUCUACAAAUUCAGUCAUGCCAUGUGGGACAAUCUCUACAUCUCAUUUAAACUUUAAGAAUAUCAAAUGUCUUUCACUAUAGAAGAACAACUAGCAAUCUUAACCAAAGCAAUUGAAGGCUUGACAAAGUGUGCACACGAACAAGAUGCUUUAGCUUUCUAAGCUAACAAAUAAGAUGGAUAAAAUGAUUGAAAACAGAUCAACUCAAUCACCUUUGAAGCUUUCUAAAAUACAAGACGAAUGAGAGUCUUGUUUAAAGCAAACAAAGAUCAAAAUGAUUCAUAUCUCAGUUGAAGGUUUGAUUCCAAUUGAUCAAUUAAAAAACAUUAUUGUAGAGGUCAUGGAAGAAAAAUUUGAGUCUUCAUUCAAAUUUUCUCCAAUAUAUGCAAAGCCAUAUACAUAAAAGGAUUGAUAACUUGAAAAUGUCUAAGGGUUAUCAACCUCCUAAGCUUCAAAAAUUUGAUGACAAAAGAAAUCCCAAACAACAUAUACCGCACUUUAUAGAGACCUGCAAUGCUGCUGGAACGUAUGAUGAUUAGCUUGUUAAAGAGUUCGUUCGAGAAAUUAGAGAAAAUUCCUUUGAUUGGUACACAGAUUUUAAACCUAAUUUUAUAGACAGUUGGGAGCGAUUAGAGCAAGAGUUCCUUAAUCGUUUCUAUAGCACGAGACGUGUCGUUAGUACAAUGGAACUUACAAAGGCUCUUCAAGGUAAAGAUGAGUCAGUUGUUAGUUAAAUUUCUAGUAUUGAAAUGUGCAUCCAAGGUAUGAACUGGAGUCUUCACUACAUUUUGCAAGGAUUAAAUCUCAAUACAUUUGAAGAGUUAGCAACUCGUGCACAUGACAUGGAAUUAAGCAUCACUUUAAGAGAAGAUCAUGAAUCUCCUGUCUAUGAACCACAUGAAGAUGAAGAUCUAGAAGAACUCCAAAAUGGGGGCAAGUCUGCAUCAAAAGAUGACUUUGAAGAGCCAAUGCAUAUCUAGACUCUCCUUAACGCAUGAGCUUAAACUCCAAGUUACAAUGAUCCUUGAAAUACGAGUUUAAAUUAUAUGUCUUCAAGUUGAAAUGCUCCUUGAAACACGAGCUUAAACUUUAUAUCGCUUAAAUAUUAAAGUUUGACUUAAAUCUCUAUGUUUGAAUGCUCCUUGAAACACGAGCUUAAAUUGUAUAUCACUUGAAUCUUCAAGUUGAAAUGAUCCUUGAAAUACGAGCUUAAAAUGUAUGGCACUUAAAUCUUAAAGUUUGAGUUAAAUCUUCAAGUUGAAGUUCUCCUUGAAACAUGAGCUUAACUGUAUCUCACUUAAAUCUUCAAGUUUGAGUUAAAUCUUCAAGUUGAAAUGCUCCUUGAAAUACGAGCCUAAACUGUAUGAUACUUAAAUCUCAAGUUAGAGUAAAAUUUUCAAGUUGAAAUGCUCAUCAUAAUACGAGAUUAAAAUGUAUGUCUCAUAAAUCUUCAAGUUUGAGUUAAAUCUUCAAGUUGAAAUGCUCCUUGAAACACGAGCAAAAUGUAUAUCCCUUAAAUCUUCAAGUUUUAGUUGAAUCAUCGAGUUAAAAUGCUCCUUGAGACAUGAGUCUAAACGGUAUAUCAUAAAGCUCUUUAAAUUUGAGCUAAAUCUUCGAGUAAAUAUGCUCCUUAAGAUACGAGCCCAAAAUGCAUGUCACUCCUGGCCCACAAGAGUAUAAACGGGAUACAACACAGCAAAAGAUCAGUCACUCCUCAAGAACUACAUUGUGACUUGAUCCUCUUCAUUGAGGUACCUAGGCACUUAGAACCAUAUUCUAAGUUCAAUUGAAUGAGGGUCAAAAAAAACCAAAUGUUCACACUUGAUCUGUUGUAUGAGUUAAAGCUAUGGGCAAUCAUUCAUAAAACUUCAGACUUGCACCGAAUGGUAGUGACUCAAUGGGGGUAAACCCUUAUGAAUAAAUUUAUUCAAGAUGAAGUCUUCAAAAUCUCCAAGUAUCCAAGUUGAAGUCUUCAAAUUCUUCAAGAAUAGUCUUUGAAAUAUAAAAUGUCUCGACAAGACUUAAAGAAGGGGGCAUUUGUAGUCACUUAAAAUUUAUUGAAUAUAAAUUUAUAAAGUUUUUCGGAUUAUAUUAAAUUAAUGAAUAUGUAAGUCUAAAUAAAUAUUAUGGAUUAAUAUAAUUGAUUUAAUUAUUUAAAUUCAAAUAAAUAUGAAUUUAACAAAAGCCCUCUCCAUAAAGCUCAUAUGAUAUUUCACUUAAAACUGAUUCACCGAAAGGAGUCAUGUUCCAAUCCCAACUUCUCUAUUCUAAAACUAUAAAUAGGGGUCUCAUAAUUCAGAAAAGAGAUCCAAGAAUUCUAAACAAGAAGCUCGAUCAAGCUCGUGAUUCAAAAGUCAUAAAUUUUUCUACAAGUUCAAGAAUUCAAGGAUUCAAUAAUACAAGUGUUCAAGUUCAAGAUUUGAAGAAGUCACGAUCAAGUUCAAGAACGAUCGACAUCAAGAACACUGAAUUCAAGAUCAAGCUCCAAGCCCUUGAAUUCAACUAGAAAGUCAAGAUCAAGAUAAAGUUCAUGUCAAGAUCAAGAUCAAGUCCAAGUACUAGUUGAAGUGCAAGAUUAAAUUCAACAAGUUCAAGAACGAUCAAGAUCACGACCACCGAAUCCAAGAUCAAACUCCAAGCCCUUGAAUUCAACUAGAAAGUCAAGAUCAGGAUAAAGUUUAAGUCAAUAUCAAGAUCAAUUCCAAGUAUAAGUUCAAGUCCAAGAUCAAGUUCAAAAUCAAGUCAAGAACGAUAAAGAUCAAGACUACCGGAUUCAAGAUCAAGAUAAGUUCAAGUCAAAAUCAAGAUCAAGUCCAAGUAUAAGUUUAAGAACGAUCAAGAUCAAGCUCCAAGCCCUUGAAUUCAACAAGAAAAUCAAGAUCAAGAUAAAGUUCAAGUCAAGAUCAAGAUCAAGUCCAAGUCCAAGUUCAAGUCGAAGAUUAAGUUCAAGAACAAUCAAGAUCAAGACAACCGGAUUCAAGAUCAAGCUCCAAGCCCUUGAAUUCAAAUAGAAAGCCAAGAUCAAGAUAAAGUUCAAUUCCAAGAUCAAGUUCAAGUUCAAGUCCAAGAUCAAAAUCAAGAUCAAGAUAUAUCCCAUGUUCAAGAUCAAACUUUAAAUUCCUUGAAAUUUGAAAAGGCGAAUUCAGAGGAAUCAUAGCGAUUGUAACACUCGCACUUGAAAUAAUAAAUCGAUUGUUGCUAUAAUUUUCCGUUUUUUAUUAUUGUUUUCUCAACACGAAUUUUAUUGUCUACAAGUGUAAUUACAAUGUAGCAACUAGCAACCAAACAUGUCAAUAUAAUUACAAAACAAUGUUAUUACUAGCCUAGUAAUUACACCAAUUUCAUUUACCAUGUGACUUUCCAAACAGACCCUUAGAAUGAUAUGAUGAUAUACUAUUAUAUAUGUUAGUAAUUAUUUGAUAUAUGAUAUGAUAUGAUUUGAUUAAUAAUAAUAAUACUAUAAUAAUAUCUAUUGAUUGUAUGGUGUUCCUUUUUUUUUCUUUUUUUUUUGUAAUGUCAAGCCAUAUUGAAUAUGAUCUUUUUAAAUGUGCAGCAAUAUUAAAGCUGUGAUGUCAAUUUUUUUAUUUUAAUAUGAUAAUUCGGUUUAUAGCGAAGUAUGCACACGUCUAUGUGCAUGAGUUUCUAAAUGUGAGGGCACUGUUACAUAUAACUAAUUAUUUUGAACUUUUUAUCUUCAACUUUGAUCCUUGGUUUUUAAGAAAAAUAUGGAAUGAAACCAGCGAUCCUUUUAUUUAGCAAAAGUUUUAACUGAAAUAAAAGAAGAUUAAAUAAAUAAUUGUGCAUUAUAUUAUAAUUAUAACAUAAAAAGUGUGUGUGGAUCCUGCACCAAGUAAAAAAAACAAAAAGAGAAAAUAGAAAAUAAGGAGGAAUUAAAAGUGGUUAUGCUGAAAGGAAGGCGAGAAAGACUAGGCCAACAAUGAAAUGGGAGGAAGGGAGAUUAUUUCGGUAAUAAACAUAGGGUUGUGAAAGGUAUAAUUUUUAAUAUAAAAGGCGAUGAUGGAGAUGGUUAAUAGUGCAAGCUCUAGCAGGAAGAAGAACUAAUAAAAAAAAGAAGAAGAAGCCUGACCUCUUCUUCUUGUGAGAGUAAAAAUAUAUAAAACUCCCAAAAAAAUUACUAGAGUGAUCAAAAAUAGAAAAAAAAAGAAGCAUCGUCAUGGGGAGUGGUAAAGUGACAGUUGUGGCUUUGCUACUUUGCCUCUCAGUAGGGGUAAUAGCUGAGGACCCUUACCUCUACUUUAACUGGAACGUUACCUAUGGCACAGUCUCUCCAUUGGGCGUGCCACAACAAGGUAUUCUCAUCAAUGGCCAGUUCCCUGGGCCUAGAAUUAAUUGUACCUCCAACAACAACAUUGUCGUCAAUGUCUUCAAUAAUUUGGAUGAGCCAUUCCUAUUUACCUGGAAUGGUGUCCAACAUAGGAAGAACUCAUGGCAAGAUGGUACCCCAGGAACCAUGUGCCCAAUCAUGCCUGGUCAAAAUUUUACUUACCGAUUCCAGGUCAAGGACCAGAUUGGUAGCUACUACUACUUCCCUACCACAGCUUUGCACCGAGCAGCAGGUGGUUAUGGUGCCAUCAAUGUCCACAGUCGUGCUCUCAUCCCUGUUCCUUUCGACAAUCCUGCCGAUGAGUACAAUGUCUUUGUCGGUGAUUGGUACAACAAGGGCCACAAGACUUUGAAAAAGGUCUUGGAUGGUGGACACACCGUUGGCAGACCUGAUGGCAUCAUCAUCAAUGGUAAGUCUGCUAAGGUUGGAGAGGCAAAAGAGCCACUCUUUACCAUGGAGGCUGGCAAGACCUAUAGGUACAGAUUCUGUAACCUUGGCAUGAGGUCCUCAGUCAACGUUAGAUUACAAGGUCACCCAAUGAAAUUAGUCGAGCUAGAGGGAUCCCACACCGUACAAAACAUCUACGAUUCAUUGGAUAUCCAUGUUGGUCAGUGCCUCUCAGUAUUGGUGACUGCUAAUCAGGAGCCCAAGGACUAUUACUUGGUCGUUUCAAGCAGAUUCUUGAAGCAAGAACUCUCCUCUGUGGCCAUCAUCCGUUAUGCCAAUGGAAAGGGCCCAGCAUCUCCUGAGCUCCCAGCAUCCCCACCAGACAACACUGAAGGCAUUGCCUGGUCCAUGAACCAGUUCCGCUCCUUCAGAUGGAACUUGACCGCUAGCGCUGCCCGUCCCAACCCUCAGGGUUCCUACCAUUACGGACAGAUAAACAUCACCCGCACCAUCAAGAUUGUCAACUCUAUGGGCCAAGUAAAUGGUAAGCUUAGAUAUGGUUUGAACGGCAUCUCUCACUCAGAUACCGAAACUCCAUUGAAGCUUGUAGAGUACUUUGGAGCUGCCGAUAAGAGUUUCAAGUAUGAUCUCAUGGCUGAUGAAGCCCCAGCUGACCCAAGCAAGCUAACUGUUGCCCCAAAUGUGAAAAACACCACCUACCGUAACUUUGUGGAGAUCAUCUUUGAGAACCACGAGAAGAGCAUCAGGACAUAUCACCUUGAUGGAUAUUCCUUCUUUGCAGUAGCUGUUGAGCCAGGGAGGUGGAGCGCUGAGAAGAGAAAGAACUACAACUUAGUGGACGCAACAAGCAGGAACAACAUCCAGGUGUAUCCAAACUCAUGGGCAGCAAUAAUGUUGACAUUUGACAAUGCAGGAAUGUGGAACUUGAGGUCAGAGAUGUGGGAGAAGACUUAUUUGGGAGAGCAAAUGUACUUCAGCGUUCUCUCACCAAGCCGCUCCUUGAGAGAUGAAUACAACCUCCCUGAUAACCAUCCUCUCUGCGGUGUUGUCAAGGGCAUGCCCCUCCCAGCUCCAUACAAGGCUUAAUUGAAUCUCUUCUCUUUCUAUCUAAUAAUAAAGGGGACGGCUUAACUAUUAAUGGAUUCCAUGUAUUUGUUUUCCUUCCCCCCAAAAAAUAAUGAAUAAAAAGUUUUUUCUUUCUUUCAAAAUUAUGCAUUUUUCGUUUCUCUCCUACUCCUUCAUCAUAUUAUUUGAACUCAAACACCAAAAC
rnacentral:lncRNA from 1 species